rnacentral:rRNA from 1 species
UAUAAGAGGUCUCGCCUGCCCUGUGACUAAAAGUUUAACGGCCGCGGUAUUUUGACCGUGCGAAGGUAGCGCAAUCACUUGUCUUUUAAAUGAAGACCUGUAUGAAUGGCAUGACGAGGGCUCAGCUGUCUCCUUUCUCCCGUCAAUGAAAUUGAUCUUUCCGUGCAGAAGCGGGAAUAAACCCAUAAGACGAGAAGACCCUAUGGAGCUUCAGACACAAGAAUAGCCUAAUAACCCCUGCCCCCACCAAACCAGGACCAAGUUAAUACCUAGUCCUAUGUCUUCGGUUGGGGCGACCACGGGGAAACGAAAACCCCCCGCGAGGAAUGGAAUACUCCUUUAUGCUAGAGCCACAGCUCACACAAUCAGAACAUCUGUCCAUAAUGACCCGGCCUUAGGGCCGAUCAACGGAUCGAGUUACCCUAGGGAUAACAGCGCAAUCCCCUCCAAGAGCCCAUAUCGACAAGGGGGUUUACGACCUCGAUGUUGGAUCAGGACCUCCUAAUGGUGCAACCGCUGUUAAGGGUUCGUUUGUUCAACGAUUAAAGUCCUACGUGAUCUGAGUUCAG